CGGGUGCACUGAUCCAGCCGGGCCUUUCCCUCUGUGGAACCCCAUGGCCUUCACUGGCUGUGGUGGGGAAACAGGACUUUUACUUUGAAAAAAUUAGAGUGCUCCAGGCAGGCCUAUGCUCGAAUACAUUAGCAUGGAAUAAUAGAAUAGGACGUGUGGUUCUAUUUUGUUGGUUUCUAGGGCCGCCGUAAUGAUUAAUAGGGACAGUCGGGGGCAUCAGUAUUCAAUUGUCAGAGGUGAAAUUCUUGGAUCUAUUGAAGACUAACUACUGCGAAAGCAUUUGCCAAGGAUGUUUUCAUUGAUAAGGAACGAAAGUUAGGGGAUCGAAGACGAUCAGAUACCGUCGUAGUCUUAACUAUAAACUAUGCCGACUAGGGAUCGGACGAUGUUAUUCUUUGACGCGUUCGGCACCUUUCGAGAAAUCAAAGUGCUUGGGCUCCAGGGGGAGUAUGGUCGCAAGGCUGAAACUUAAAGAAAUUGACGGAAGGGCACCACCAGGGGUGGAACCUGCGGCUUAAUUUGACUCAACACGGGGAAACUCACCAGGUCCAGACACAGUGAGGAUUGACAGAUUGAGAGCUCUUUCUUGAUUCUGUGGGUGGUGGUGCAUGGCCGUUCUUAGUUGGUGGAGUGAUUUGUCUGCUUAAUUGCGAUAACGAACGAGACCUUAACCUGCUAAAUAGCCCGUACUGCUUUGGCAGUUCGCCGGCUUCUUAGAGGGACUAUCGG
rnacentral:rRNA from 1 species